GGGGCGCAGCAGGCGCGAAAACUUUACAAUGCGGGCAACCGUGAUAAGGAAACCCCGAGUGCCAGCACAGGCUGGCUGUCCGCCAGUUUAAAAAACUGGUGAAGAAAGGGCCGGGCAAGACCGGUGCCAGCCGCCGCGGUAAUACCGGCGGCUCGAGUGGUGGCCGCUUUUACUGGGCUUAAAGGGUCCGUAGCUGGAUCUGCAAGUCCCUUGAGAAAUCCAUCGGCUUAACUGAUGGGCGUUCAGGGGAU
rnacentral:rRNA from 1 species